AUAUUUGUUUAAUUACUAAUUUUUAUUUAAGUACCUCUAAUUUUAUUGUAAUGUAAAUCGUUGACGUUUGCUGUUAAAAAGAAUAUAAGAGCGAAUGGAUUCAUUAUUAUGUAUGAAAAACAAAAUUAAAGUAACGUGUGGCAAUCAACAAGAAGACUACUAUGCGACUCAUUCAAAUCACAAGAAUGUCUUCCAUAAUUCGUUUGAUAUAUGAAUCUGUGAUAUGUUUUGGUUCAGGAAUCUUAGGUUUUGGAUAUGUUCUCCUUGAUGGAAAUAGAAGUAAAAUCCUCAAAUAUAUCACAUUUUCAUGGAUUAGUGCUGCAGUUCUUUGCUCUUUAAUUCAACGAAACAGACAAAAAACAUUGAGUGAACGAAAUGUAAUUUUAAUUACAGGAUGUGAUUCUGGUUUGGGAUUCAAUAUGGCUCUUUAUUGUAACCUCAAGUUGAAUAUGUUUGUUUGUGCUGCAUGCUUAAAUACAAGAUCAGAAGGCGCACUCCAGCUAUUGGCACAAUGCAAUCCGAAGCGAUUUCUACUCCUAGAAUUGGAUAUAAGAAAAAGUGCCAGUAUUUUACACAUUGAAAAAACUAUAACGAAUCUACUUCAAAGUGAUGAUAAUUUAGUGCUCAGCUAUUUAGUAAAUAAUGCCGGCGUUAUGUGCUUUGGUGAAUUUGAGUGGCAAACCAACGCAAUUGUUGAACAUCAAAUAAAUGUGAACCUUUUUGGAACGAUGAAUUUCACUCGAAGUUUUUUAUAUUUGGCACGAAAAUAUAAGACGAGAAUUAUUAAUGUAACAAGCCAUUGUGCGCUUGAGGCAUUACCAGGCUUGGCCACUUAUGCAGCUACAAAAGCGGGUUUAAGAUACUGGAGUGAUUCUCUUAGAGUGGAAGUAAAAAAAUAUGGCGUUGAAGUUGUUAAUUUCAUCCCUGGGUCACAAGUUAUGUGUACGAAUAUAACAGCACGUCAAAAACAGUACACUUCCGAAAUGUUAACUUCAUUUACCGACGAGCAAAUAGAUUUUUAUGGCGAUUAUUUUAAAAGAUACAAUAAUUAUUUAAACCAAUUUUGUGGCAACAAACCCAUUCAAAUUAUUUCAGAUGGUAAUUUAUUCACUGAAUUUCGAAAUGCUCUUAUCGAUUACACACCUUGUGCCAUCUAUAAAUCCGAACCAUUCAGAUAUGCCAUCUAUCACAAACUCUUUAAAUACAGCCCAGUUUAUUUGCGUGAUUGGCUUAUUUUAAAGUUUGUCAAUAUGCCAAAUUACAUGUAAUGUCUGCAGAUAGUGUUGAAAUGACAGAAAAUCAAACAUAGUAAAGAAAAAAUCAACUAAGAAGUUUUUUGCUUACCUUGGUGAACCAGCCAUAUAUACGCAUAUUGAAACACAAAAUUAUAAAAUAUUUAAAUGAUCACAUAUUGGCUAAAUUUUCAUAUAUGGAGAAUUAUUGAGACAAUUGGUUGCAUUUUGUAAAUAAAAAUUAUUUAAAUUUCUUCUUUUCUUUCAUAAUCAUAUGAUUGUAACGUUUUUAUCCAUUUUAACGUUGUAAAAUGUAACGCUCUUAACCAUUUUGGUGGUCAUUUUCGUGUCAAAUAGAAUGUAGAUUAUAAAUUUCCAAUAAAGAAUAUACAGUACGUUUCUUUAUCCAUAA